rnacentral:rRNA from 1 species
CGGCAACAGCUCAAAUUUGAAAUCUGGCCCUCGGGUCCGAGUUGUAAUUUGUAGAGGAUGCUUUUGGCGCGGUGCCUUCCGAGUUCUCUGGAACGGGACGCCUUAGAGGGUGAGAGCCCCGUACGGUUGGACACCAAGCCUCUGUAAAGCUCCUUCGAC